rnacentral:rRNA from 2 species
UGCCCUAGUAACGGCGAGUGAAGCGGCAACAGCUCAAAUUUGAAAUCUGGCUUCGGCCCGAGUUGUAAUUUGUAGAGGAUGCUUUGGGCGCGGCGCCAACUGAGUUCCCUGGAACGGGACGCCACAGAGGGUGAGAGCCCCGUAUAGUUGGAUGCCUAGCCUAUGUAAAGCUCCUUCGACGAGUCGAGUAGUUUGGGAAUGCUGCUCAAAAUGGGAGGUAAAUUUCUUCUAAAGCUAAAUACCGGCCAGAGACCGAUAGCGCACAAGUAGAGUGAUCGAAAGAUGAAAAGCACUUUGAAAAGAGGGUUAAAUAGCACGUGAAAUUGUUGAAAGGGAAGCGCUUGUGACCAGACUUGCGCCGGGCAGAUCAUCCGGUGUUCUCACCGGUGCACUCUGCCCGGCUCAGGCCAGCAUCGGUUCUCGUGGGGGGAUAAAGGUCUCGGGAACGUAGCUCUUUCGGGAGUGUUAUAGCCCGGGGCGUAAUGCCCUCGCGGGGACCGAGGUUCGCGCAUCUGCAAGGAUGCUGGCGUAAUGGUCAUCAGCGACCCGUCUUGAAACACGGACCAAGGAGUCAAGGUUUUGCGCGAGUGUUUGGGUGUAAAACCCGCACGCGUAAUGAAAGUGAACGUAGGUGAGAGCUUCGGCGCAUCAUCGACCGAUCCUGAUGUAUUCGGAUGGAUUUGAGUAAGAGCGUUAAGCCUUGGACCCGAAAGAUGGUGAACUAUGCUUGGAUAGGGUGAAGCCAGAGGAAACUCUGGUGGAGGCUCGCAGCGGUUCUGACGUGCAAAUCGAUCGUCAAAUCUGAGCAU